rnacentral:rRNA from 1 species
AGAGUUAAAUAGUACGUGAAAUUGUUGAAAGGGAAACGAUUGAAGUCAGUCGUGCUGGCGCGAAAUCAACCUUCUCGUCUCGAGAUCACAUGGCGUGGCGAGCCUCAAAACCGUCACGAAGCGUGAACUCUUGGUGAAAUGGAGCACUUUCGUGUCCGCUGGUUAACAUCAAUUUCGAACGUCAUAAAAAGGCUGGAGGGAUGUGGCUCCUUCGGGAGUGUUAUAACCUUUAGCGGAAUGUGGUGGUCGGGAUUGAGGAUUGCAACGAAUACCUUUAGGGCUGUUCCACCUGGCUUCUCUUUGGUAUCCUGGUGACGACAGCUUGCUGACGUUGUUAGGAUUCGCCUUUGAACAGGCUAGAGUGUGAGCAAAUUUGCUAAGGAUGCUGACGUAAUGGCUUUAAACGACC